AUUCACGAGAAUACCUUAUUUAUCUUGUCCAACACAAUCAUUUGACACUUGGUACAACUUUAAUUUUUGCUAACAACAUACAGUUUCUGCUAUAGGACACACCACCCUAGUGACGUAUUGUCACUUAAACUUGCUUCUUUUACAGUGCC